rnacentral:tRNA from 1 species
GGCGGACGUGGCCAAGUGGAUUAAGG